rnacentral:rRNA from 1 species
AUUGAACGCUGGCGGCCGGCCUAACACAUGCAAGUCGAACGAGUGGCGGACGGAUUAGUAAUGUCUGGGAAACUGCCUGAUGGAGGGGGAUAACUAAUGGAAACGGUAGCUAAUACCGCAUACCAUCAGAUGUGCCCAGGUGGGAUUUUCUAGUUGGUGGGGUAACGGCUCACCACGGCGACGAUCCCUAGUUGGUCUGAGAGGAUGACCAGCCACACUGGAACUGAGACACGGGCCAGACUCCUACGGGAGGCAGCAGUGGGGAAUAUUGGACAAUGGGCGCAAGCCUGAUGCAGCCAUGCCGCGUGUAUGAAGAAGGCCUUCGGGUUGUAAAGUACUUUCAGCGGGGAGGCGUUACCCGCAGAAGAAGCACCGGCUAACUCCGUGCCAGCAGCCGCGGUAAUAC